rnacentral:rRNA from 1 species
AGAAAGGGCGCACGGUGGAUGCCUUGGCACUAGGAGCCGAAGAAGGACGGGACUAACACCGAUAUGCUUUGGGGAGCUGUACGUAAGCGUUGAUCCAGAGAUUUCCGAAUGGGGGAACCCACUAUCUUUAGUCGGAUAGUAUCCUUACGUGAAUACAUAGCGUAAGGAAGGCAGACCCAGGGAACUGAAACAUCUAAGUACCUGGAGGAAGAGAAAGAAAAAUCGAUUUCCUGAGUAGCGGCGAGCGAAACGGAAAGAGCCCAAACCAAGAAGCUUGCUUCUUGGGGUUGUAGGACACUCUAUACGGAGUUACAAAAGAAAGUUAUAAAUGAAGCGGUCUGGAAAGGCCCGCCAAAGACGGUAACAGCCCGGUAGUUGAAAUGGCUUUCCCUCCAGAGUGGAUCCUGAGUACGGCGGAACACGUGAAAUUCCGUCGGAAUCCGGGAGGACCAUCUCCCAAGGCUAAAUACUCCCUAGUGACCGAUAGUGAACCAGUACCGUGAGGGAAAGGUGAAAAGCACCCCGGAAGGGGAGUGAAACAGUUCCUGAAACCGUGUGCCUACAAGUAGUUAGAGCCCGUUAAUGGGUGAUAGCGUGCCUUUUGUAGAAUGAACCGGCGAGUUACGAUUUGUUGCAAGGUUAAGCGGAAAAAGCGGAGCCGUAGCGAAAGCGAGUCUGAAUAGGGCGCAUAAGUAACAGGUCGUAGACCCGAAACCAGGUGAUCUACCCAUGUCCAGGAUGAAGGUAAGGUAAUACUUACUGGAGGUCCGAACCCACGCACGUUGAAAAGUGCGGGGAUGAGGUGUGGGUAGCGGAGAAAUUCCAAUCGAACUUGGAGAUAGCUGGUUCUCUCCGAAAUAGCUUUAGGGCUAGCCUCGAGGUAAAGAGUCAUGGAGGUAGAGCACUGUUUGGACUAGGGGCCCUUCUCGGGUUACCGAAUUCAGAUAAACUCCGAAUGCCAUGUACUUAUACUCGGGAGUCAGACUGCGAGUGAUAAGAUCCGUAGUCGAAAGGGAAACAGCCCAGACCACCAGUUAAGGUCCCCAAAUAUAUGUUAAGUGGAAAAGGAUGUGGGGUUGCUUAGACAACCAGGAUGUUGGCUUAGAAGCAGCCACCAUUGAAAGAGUGCGUAAUAGCUCACUGGUCGAGUGACCCCGCGCCGAAAAUGUACCGGGGCUAAACAUAUUACCGAAACUGUGGAUGAACCUCUUCGGAGGUUCGUGGUAGGAGAGCGUUCUAAGGGCGGUGAAGUCAGACCGGAAGGACUGGUGGAGCGCUUAGAAGUGAGAAUGCCGGUAUGAGUAGCGAAAGAAGGGUGAGAAUCCCUUCCACCGAAUAUCUAAGGUUUCCUGAGGAAGGCUCGUCCGCUCAGGGUUAGUCGGGACCUAAGCCGAGGCCGAUAGGCGUAGGCGAUGGACAACAGGUAGAGAUUCCUGUACCAGUGCUAAUUGUUUAACCGAUGGGGUGACACAGAAGGAUAGGGAAUCGCACGAAUGGAAAUGUGCGUCCAAGCAGUGAGUGUGAGAAGUAGGCAAAUCCGCUUCUCGCGAAGCAUGAGCUGUGAUGGGGAAGGAAAUUAAGUACGGAAGUUCCUGAUUUCACGCUGUCAAGAAAAGCCUCUAGGAAGAGUAGUACUGCCCGUACCGCAAACCGACACAGGUAGAUGAGGAGAGAAUCCUAAGGUGAGCGAGAGAACUCU